UGGGGAAUUUUGGACAAUGGGGGAAACCCUGAUCCAGCCAUCCCGCGUGUGCGAUGAAGGCCUUCGGGUUGUAAAGCACUUUUGGCAGGAAAGAAACGUCAUGGGUUAAUACCCCGUGAAACUGACGGUACCUGCAGAAUAAGCACCGGCUAACUACGUGCCAGCAGCCGCGGUAAUACGUAGGGUGCAAGCGUUAAUCGGAAUUACUGGGCGUAAAGCGUGCGCAGGCGGUUCGGAAAGAAAGAUGUGAAAUCCCAGAGCUCAACUUUGGAACUGGAUUGUUAACUAACGGGCUAGAGUGUGUCAGAGGGAGGUGGAAUUCCGCGUGUAGCAGUGAAAUGCGUAGAUAUGCGGAGGAACACCGAUGGCGAAGGCAGCCUCCUGGGAUAACACUGACGAUCAUGAAAGAAAGCGUGGGGAGCAAACAGG
rnacentral:rRNA from 1 species